rnacentral:rRNA from 1 species
GGCUUAAUGAUAUUAAUUUUAAGUCAAUCUGCCCAAUGAUUAUUAAUUUAAUGGCUGCAGUAUAAUUGACUGUACAAAGGUAGCAUAAUCAAUUGUUUUUUAAUUAAAAACUGGAAUGAAAGAAUUAAUGAGAUAUAUACUGUCUCAUAUAUAUUUAAUUAAUUUAAAUUUUUAGUUAGAAUGCUGAAAUUUAUUUAUGGGACGAUAAGACCCUAUAGAAUUUUAUAUUAAUAAAAAAAUUUAUUAUUUUAUUUUUUAUUAAUAUUUAGUUGGGAGGAUUAAUAAAUUUAUUAAACUUUAUUUUAAAUAUAAACUUUGAUUUAAGAAUUUAAUAAUGAUCUUGUAAUAUAAAUUAUAAGAAUAAAUUACCUUAGGGAUAACAGCGUAAUAUCUUUAAUAAGAUCAAAUUAGUAAAGGUGAUUGCGACCUCGAUGUUGAAUUAAGAUAAAUUUUAAAUGGAGAAGUUUAAAAAUUAAGUCUGUUCGACUUUUAAAAUCUUACAUGAUUUGAGUUCAAAUCGACGUGAGU